GAUGAACGCUAGCUACAGGCUUAACACAUGCAAGUCGAGGGGAAACGACAUCGAAAGCUUGCUUUUGAUGGGCGUCGACCGGCGCACGGGUGAGUAACGCGUAUCCAACCUGCCCACCACUUGGGGAUAACCUUGCGAAAGUAAGACUAAUACCCAAUGAUAUCCCACGAAGGCAUCCGAAUGGGAUUAAAGAUUUAUCGGUGAUGGAUGGGGAUGCGUCUGAUUAGCUUGUUGGCGGGUAACGGCCCACCAAGGCGACGAUCAGUAGGGGUUCUGAGAGGAAGGUCCCCCACAUUGGAACUGAGACACGGUCCAAACUCCUACGGGAGGCAGCAGUGA
rnacentral:rRNA from 1 species